UGGGGAAUAUUGGACAAUGGGGGCAACCCUGAUCCAGCCAUGCCGCGUGAGUGAUGAAGGCCCUAGGGUUGUAAAGCUCUUUUGUGCGGGAAGAUAAUGACGGUACCGCAAGAAUAAGCCCCGGCUAACUUCGCGCCAGCAGCCGCGGUAAUACGAAGGGGGCUAGCGUUGCUCGGAAUCACUGGGCGUAAAGGGUGCGUAGGCGGGUUUCUAAGUCAGAGGUGAAAGCCUGGAGCUCAACUCCAGAACUGCCUUUGAUACUGGAAGUCUUGAGUAUGGCAGAGGUGAGUGGAACUGCGAGUGUAGAGGUGAAAAUUCGUAGAUAUUCGCAAGAACACCAGUGGCGAAGGCGGCUCACUGGGCCAUUACUGACGCUGAGGCACGAAAGCGUGGGGAGCAAAACGGGAUUAGAUACCCUGGUAGUCCACGCCGUAAACGAUGAAUGCCAGCCGUUAGUGGGUUUUACUCACUAGUGGCGCAGCUAACGCUUUAAGCAUUCCGCCUGGGGAGUACGGUCGCAAGAUUAAAAACUUAAAGG
rnacentral:rRNA from 1 species